GUCCCCAAAAGCCUGUGUUGAUUUAAGUACGGACUGUGGAGCUAUGACAAGAGAACUAGCUGAAGAUCAGCUUAGCAUGAAGGCUAAAGGAGAGGAUACAUUUAGCCUGUGUCUAUAUCCACAUAAAAACAGGUCUACACUGCCUACGUCAGCACAAGAAACCGCAGCUAUCAAAUUCAAUACUUGAGGUCAAAAGUUGUGGAAAUAUUUGCUGGCUGCCAGAAAAUGAAAGAAAAGGAAGUUAAGUUAAUGUAUUGUGAGACUUUGGUACAACUAAUUAAGUCUCAUUAGCAGGCUGAUAAUGCUAAAUAAUUUUGGAAUUCGAAUUAAACAAACACCAA